rnacentral:rRNA from 1 species
UACGGGGGGGGCAAGCGUUGUUCGGAAUUACUGGGCGUAAAGGGCUUGUAGGCGGCCAACUAAGUCCGACGUGAAAUCCCCAGGCUUAACCUGGGAACUGCGUCGGAUACUGGAUGGCUUGAAUUCGGGAGAGGGAUGCAGAAUUCCAGGUGUAGCGGUGAAAUGCGUAGAUAUCUGGAGGAACACCGGUGGCGAAGGCGGCAUCCUGGACCACGACUGACGCUGAGUGAGCGAAAGCGUGGGGAGCGAACAGG